AGAUUCGGAGAAUCCCAAAACCUGUGUGUCUAACUCCUAUUGAUAAAACUUGAAUGAUGAAUGUAGGUGAAACCUCGCUGCGUCUGUCAUGAGUCUCAUUCUCCCUUUCUGUGCUGUACUAAUUUGUUCAUGAAGGAGAACAAGAUGAUGCCCUUCCCCUCCACCCCCCACUUCUCGCUGCCGCUGACUUCCCCCUCCCACAUCCCAGGCACUCCUUCCAGGUCCUCCUCCUUGGGCACGAAGGGAACAGAACUGGUGUGAUUUUGCUGUACAGGAGGACAACAAACAAUACUAAGGGACAUCCAUGUGGGUUCCUCAUCCCCUGUCCCUAAGGGAAACAGUUCUGCAGGGUGCUUCAUUUCCCACAGAGCACAGGAAGGCUUUGAGAGAAGGGUUAGAAUGGCUGGUUGGUGUAUAGGCCAAAUUCCCCUGCCUACGGCAAUGCAGCUGCUGUGGAAGCUACUGUGGCUCCAAUGCAGUAGCCCCACUGUUGUACUAAGGGCAAAAGGGCAGAUUCCGUGUGCACCUAGCCCCCGUGGAAUCGGCGUGUAUGCAGUCCAUAUUUCACUUGCACCAUUCCCUGAGCUAUAUAUGAUGCACCACACUCUUAAUUUUAAUACUUAGGAGUUAAUUUUGUCAUAAUAAUGGUGGACGCUGUCUCUUAUUUCUCCCUCCAUUAAAGCCCUGCCCGUUUACGUGAGCUGGAGUGAUACUUGCAUAGCAAGAGGCUAAUAUGUGACAUUUAACCACUAUCCCUGAAAACUGCUCGCCAGAAUUCUUGCAAAACUAUUCAGUAUGUUCCCCUUCUAGCUUUUGAAAUGAGUGACAGCGCUUCAGUUCAGAUAACGGGAGGCUAAGGCUGGUGUUUCUCACAAAGGACGUGGUUCGUUCCUAAUAAAACCUUAAGCUAAGAAAUGGCAUGUGGCCCUUGUUUUUUAGGGCCUAAAAUAAAACUUUCAUAGAAUUGAUUCAGAAAGCUUUAUUUUCCCUUCUUCCUUGAAGGAGCCUGAAAGCUGAAAAGAGGAGGAGCUGAAAAGAGGUGAUACGUGGUGGGAAUUUCCCCAUUGCAGGCAUAUGAAUUGCCUUCCUGUUCUUCAGCAGUCUAGGUUCAACCACUCCUAGAGUUUACCUUUUUUUUUUUUUUGCAGGGGAAGUGGAGAGUCAGCAUGGCUGGACGAGUAUUAGCCAAAUUUGUGUUCUCUUCUUUUACUGCUGUUUUGUUCUCCCUGUUGUUCUCUGCUAUGCAGUGUUCAGGGCAGAUUUGUGGAGAAUUUGAAUAUCCCUUACAUAACCGAUGCUGCAAGGAGUGUGCUCCUGGUGAGGGAAUGAGAAACCGCUGCUUGCCAUCAUCCGAAUCAGAGUGCGUCCCCUGCCAAAAUGGAUACUAUAACUCAAAGCAUAACUACUAUCCAUGCAAAAGCUGCACCGUCUGUUACACAGAUAGGGGAAGCAUGGAGGUGAAGAAGUGUGAUAAGAUCUCAGAUACAGUUUGCGUGUGCAUGAAGGGUUACACCCCAUACGACAGCAGAUCGUCAGAGGAAUCUCCGUCAGGAAGAGAAUGCUUCCCUUGUCCUGAUGGCCAUUUUUCCGAUGGAAACAAUGACAGAUGUCGGCCCUGGACCAACUGCACGGCUUAUGGUAAAAAGACUCUCAGAGCUGGGACAAAAAUAGAAGAUGCCAUCUGCGAUGACCAGGACAAACAGGCCACCACAUUCCAAACAUCCACCUUAUACCUCUCUAUCAUCAGCCGCAGAAGCAAUGGAUCUACUACAGCACCCACCCCCUUCACGUCCAAAGACGCCCUUUCCACCACUCCCAUUAAAAAGGAGACUAACUGGGGGUCUUUAUCGCUCAUUUUGAUUUGCUUAACGUUGCUCAUGGUAUCUGGAAUGUCCAUCCUCCUCUUGAUUAUCCAGACGACCAAAAAGGAGAAGCCAAAGAGGCCUCUUGUGAAUGGACAACUUGAUGGAAGGAGCUUUCGAAUUCCUAUCCAGGAAGAGCAAAUCGACUCCAAUUCCAGCCUCAUCAAAAACUGAUUCCCUGUUUUACUACAGUGUACUGUCAUCUGAGCCAAACAGUAGGAACCUAGCAAUGCAACCGGGGCGGCUCCAGGCACCAGCGCAGCAAGCACGUGCCUGGGGCGGCAAGCUGCGUGGGGAGCCUGCCGGUCGCUGUGAGGGCGGCAAGGCAGGUGGCUUUUGGCAGCGCACUUGUGGGAGAUCCGCCGGUCCCGCGGCUUUGCUGGCAAUUCAGCGGCAGGGACGCUGAUGGUGCAGCACCGGUGGACCUCCCGCAGGCAUGCCGCCGAAUCCACGUGACCAGCAGACCUCCGGCUGGUGUGCUGCCGAAAGCUGCCUGCCUGCCUGCCGUGCUUUGGGCGGCAAAAAACGUAGAGCCGCCCCGAAUGCAAUAACUACUCCCCAUGUAAAGGAAUAUUCUAUAUGUGUUGAUGUUCGUUCCAGGGCCUGUGUCUCCUUUCUGGUCUCUCUGAGUGCACCCCUUCGGGUCUUAGGCCUUAUGCCUGUUCCUCUCUUGGGGUGGAAUCAUGUGAUUCUCCCACUCUUAGACUGAGACAUGGGCUGUAGUACCAUGGGUAUCAACUGAGCUAACUGAGCAGGUCCAACUGAGUUUGGGCACCUACUGUUCUUCCCUUUGGGAGUUUGUGAGCAGCGGUAUAUGGUGAGCAGACCUUUUUGAACCCAAACUAUUGUAUUUAGCAAUAGCAGAAUGCAUUAGAGAGAGGAUUUCAAAACAAGUCUAGCUCUACCAUCAUUUGGCGACCUAGGCAGGCCUAGCAUCUCCAGACCUCCCACGUGGCUCCUCUUUCCGAGUCUCAUUCCAGUCUGGUUUCACUUUUGGCUCUCCCUCCCCCUGAGAGAGUGACCCCCUUUAAACCUUGCUAGGAUCCUUUGUUGUCUUGUGUUUUGUGGGCCUUGGCCUUUCCUGGUCAAAACAGUUUUGUAGGUUUGUCUGGAGACAUGAGAACAGAAUCAUGGAAGGUAAUAACUCCAGAACUGCCUCUUAACAGUUUUUAAGCGUUGUUGAGAGGUGGUAAUCUGGAGCCAUUCUGCUUCUUUCUGCUGGUCAGACUCCUGUUAAGCUAAAUCAGUGUAUUCAUACCAUCCCAAUAACCCUUAUUAGAGGAUAGUCCAAAUCCAUGUGUCUAUGUAUGAGGGCAGAGUCUUUAUAUUCACAACCUUGAGAGAAAGCAAAUUCAGAUACGCGGGGAGAAGAUUAAAAGACGGCCACUCAGAGAACAAGCAUGCAGCGUGUUCCAAUUUCAGACUUUAGCACUCAGCAUUUGUACUGCUACUUCACCUGCAAACCCCACACACACCCACUCUUGUGCUUCCUGUUUACAUUCAUGUGCAUCACAACGAACAUCCUGUUAAGAUGGGUGUUUGCAGAGGGGAAAAAGGUGAAGGGUGGGAACAGGCUGCAUGAAAAGCAAAUGCAGAGACUAUGAAAAAAGGGAGGGGAGUGGAGGAAAAGAGCACUUCCAAUGAAAGCAUAAAUAGUAGUUAUUGGGCCAGAUCCUAACCCACUGACAUCAGUAGAACCACGCGUGUGCCACUGGGGAUCUGGCCUACUGUCUUUGUCUAUGUUGUGUGUUUGGCCCCAAUGUGUACGAGCUUAGCUUUCGAGGAUUCUUCUGGCCCUGACAUCACAAUUAAACUGAAUCGCCACAUGGAACGAAAAUCCAAUCAAACCCCAGCUGACUGUGCAAAGCCCCAAAUAGUUGGAGGUUCACAAACCGUUGGGCUCCCCUGUCGCUGAUUCUUGCUGCUUUCCACUGUUGCUUUUGGACCUCUUUCUGUGCCCACAGAAUUAUCAUUGUUCACUAACUAACCUCAGCAAACCCCACUCUGAAUACAGCUGUUGUCUCGUUAGCCUGGCAGAACACAACAAUGUAAACAAUUGAAAAAACACGAGGCCCCUUAGAUAUAAUAUUUCUUCUUCUUGAAAUGAGGCGUCGGCUGGGUGUAGCCAAUAGACUGAUAUUCCAGUGCGACACCCAGGGCUUUCUGCAGCUAUCAUUAUAGUAGAGCUCUGCAGAAUCCCACCGGUAAUGGAUAGACAGUCCAGACCCAGGCUGCCAUUCUGUAUUUGAACACUUUGGGGGAGUUCACACUCAAGAACUGAACAAGCACUGGGCCUGCUCCUGCUCCCGGUUGAAAUAAAUAGGAGUUUGGCAAUUCAUUUCAGUUGGAGUAGGAACAUGCUCUAUGAACAAAUGCUACACUGGUUGCCAAGUGUGUCUGUAGUGGAGGUGCUGCACAUCUUCUCGUUGGCUCAUAUAUUUUCAAGGGGGUAAAUGAUUUUUAAAGUUAAUGGGAGGUGCCCUAUUAAAUACAAGCUGUGAAACGGGUCUUGGGCAAAUCAUUGAAUCCCUCUGUUCCUCAGUCUGCCUGUCUGUAAAAUGGGAGUGAUGAUAUUUACCUCCUUCCUGGCCGAGUGGGUGAGAUUUAAUGUGAACGACAAAAACAGAGCUCUUUCCAAACUGAGGAGUGGCAAGUUUUGUUAUUGGCAUCCAACAGCGACAAAAACAAAGGAUAAGCCUUUGUACUGUACACGUGAAUAAGUUAAUUAUCCCCUACAUAUUUUGGUUUGUCUAAUAUAAAUGGGUCUAGUUUAUUACAUACCCUAUGGUUCCAGUUCUGCAAACAUAUACAAACUAGCCUCCAGAGAGACGACUACUGGGCUUAAAGCUAAGUGUUUGCAUCAGUGUUUGCAGGAUCAGGACCUUACUUAUGUGCAUAUAUUGUAAUAUAUUUUACAUGUAUACUCACAAUGAUGUAAAGUGUGAUUAUUAUUAUUAUAUGUAUAUUUAACAUGCCUGUAAGGGUAUGUCCACACUGCAGUUAGACACUUGCAGCUGACCUGUGCCAGCUGACACAGGCUAAGUGACUGUUUAAUUGUGAUGUAGAAGUUCAGGCAGCAGCCUGGGCUUUGAGACCUUCCCACUGCACAGGGUCCUAGAGCCCAGGUUCCAGCCAGAGUUAAACAGCCCUUUAGCCCAAGCCCGAGUCAGCUGGCACAGGCCUGCCGUGGGUUUUUAAUUGCAGUGCUGAUGUAUCUUGAGUGAGUUUGGCAUAUCUGUAAUAUGUUACACAAUUUUGCAAUAUAUUUUCCUGUAAAUAGCUUUGGAUGUCAUUUUGUGUGCCGUAAUGUAUAAAAUAGAUCAAGGGAAAAAAUCCAAGUGCUACAGCAGAGCUGAGAAGUCUUUCAUUUUAAAUGCCUGUAGUUAAAUAUUUAUUUUGUAUACAAAAUAGCCACCACAUGUGCCAAAAUAUGAACACAAGAGCUGCCUGAAAAUGUUCUUUAAAAAUACACCUCUACCCUGAUAUAACGCUGUCCUCAGGAGCCAAAAAAUCUUACCGCGUUAUAGGUGAAACCGCAUUAUAUCGAAUUUGCUUUGAUGCACCGGAGUGCACAGCCCUGCCUCCCCAGGAUGCUGCUUUACUGCAUUAUAUCCAAAUUCAUGUUAUAUUGGGUUGCGUUAUUUCGGGGUGGAAGUGUACAUAUUGUUAUAUGUUAUACAUAUAGUGUAAUUAAUGAUUUCCUAAAGUGAAAUACAGACAUAUUGUAUACAAACUUUUGUAUUAUAUUCUAAGUAUCAUAAAUGGAGGAAUUAUUUUUAAAAUAAAACAUUUUGGCUAAAAUA